GGGAUAUAUUAGAAGUCUUCUCAUGUAUUAGAUCUUAAAAGUAAUUAAUAAAGUUUAUAAAAGAUUAUGAAAGAGAAAAAAAUCAAAAUCAUGUAUUAAAAACAUUUCUAAAUGAUGGAAAUUUAGUUUUACUAAAAUUGAAUUAGGUUUAAACAUAUAAGUGAAUGUAGGUAGAUUGAGUCAUGAUAGCCUUCGGUUUAGGGUUUGGCAAAAUAUUUUAUACUAUUGUUGGUAUUUUUAGGGUUAUAUUUUGAAAUCUUAUAUUUUUAUUUUAGUUUGACAUAUAUUUGUUUAUUGACUAUCUAAUUACUUGAUCUAAAAACUUUAUAAGUUUCUUUUAAGUUUAAGGAAGUGUUUUUGAUUAGUUAUUUGAUUAUAGGGUCUUGAAGACUCCGAGAAAACUUUGGUUUAGAGUUUAGUAACAUAUGUUAUAGUAUUGUUUGUAUUUAGGGUUAGAUUUUAGAAUCUUAAAUUUUAAAUAAAAAAAUUAACAUACAUGUGUUUAGUUUUGUGUAUAUUAAACGUUUUAUAAGUUGAUUUUAAGUUUAACGAAUUAUUUUUUCCUAUUUAGUUAGUUAUAUGAUUAGGUUAUAAUUUAGAAAACUU
rnacentral:lncRNA from 1 species